rnacentral:lncRNA from 1 species
AAUAGAUAACGCAUUCAAUUUCAACUUCAAAUCAUUGAUAAGAUCAAAUAGCAAGCCAAAAGAGAUUAGAGAACUAGAGCAAGAGCCAGACCUUUCACUGAAUUCGAAGCUAAAAUUCAAAAGACAAAUGGAAGAUGACCAUAAUCGGAAAGAUAGACAGGGAUACGGCGACCUCAACGGAACAGCAGAUCGGCAUCGAAAAAUCAAAACAAACACGACUGCAAUCACACUCCAUCGCAUUCCAUGGUUUCAAAACAGAAAAUAAGAAGAAGAAGCUCGCUAAACCAAGAUAUCUGACCUUCUUCUUAUGACUGUAUGUGUGUGUUUCUGGUGUGGUUGCCGGUUUCUGGCAACUCGUCGGCAAGGCAGUAUCGGAACGUGUGGGAUCAGUCAGUUGGGUUCUGCCGGCAUUUAUGAUUUUUGAUAGCAGCCCGCACUGGCUGGGAAAGGAGAAAAUCGAUGCCAGCAGGUUGAAGAUGAAGAAACUGGCAAGGCUUGCUGGUUUCCAACGAAAUUUAGGUUGAAAAUGGAAGGUCGUUUUGAGUGAAGUUCAGGCGGUCUGAUGGCUGGUCGACGGCGAAAAUUAGAGGGAGUUAGCUGGUUAGUUCGUGUGAGGUCGUGGCGUAAUUGGGGUGGUCGUGAGUAAGAAGGUGGCGAUUGUUAUUCUGAAGAAGAAGCGCGGCGGAGGAGGCUUAAGGUGGUUCGGAAGCGGCUACCUAGAGAGAAGCUAGAGUUUUUUGUUAUUUUUCUUCAUUGUUGUCUAAGGUUGAAGAAGAAGAUGAAGUAGCUAGGGUUGUUCUCUUGUCUUCUCUAAGGAAGAAGGUUGCUGAUUAAAAG